rnacentral:rRNA from 1 species
GACGGAGGGUGCAAGCGUUGUUCGGAAUUACUGGGCGUAAAGGGCGCGUAGGCGGUCUGUUAAGUUCGGUGUGAAAGCCCCCGGCUCACCUGGGGAACUGCGCCGGAAACCGACAGACUCGAGUACCGGAGAGGAGGGUGGAAUUCCUGGUGUAGCGGUGAAAUGCGUAGAUAUCAGGAGGAACACCGGUGGCGAAGGCGGCCCUCUGGACGGAUACUGACGCUGAGGCGCGAAAGCGUGGGGAACAAACAGG